rnacentral:rRNA from 1 species
AACGAACGCUGGCAGCAGGCUUAACACAUGCAAGUCGAACGCAUCCUUCGGGGUGAGUGGCAGACGGGUGAGUAACGCGUGGGAACGUGCCCUUCAGUUCGGGAUAACCCAGGGAAACUUGGGCUAAUAACGGCUACGUGCGAGUGCAGAAAGAUUUAUCGCUGAAGGAUCGGCCCGCGUCUGAUUAGCUAGUUGGUGGGGGAAUGGCACACCAAGGCGACGAUAAGUAGCUGGUAUGAGUGGGUCAUCAGCCACAUUGGGACUGAGACACGGCACAAAUGGCGACGGGAGGCAGCAGUCGUGAUUAUUUGACAAAGGGCGCAAGCUUGAUCUAACCAAGGAGGGUGUGUGAUGAAGGCCUUUGGGUUGGAAAUUUCUUUCGACCAAGACGAUAAUGACGGUACCGGAAGAAGAUGCGCCGGCUACGUACGUGCAAGCAGCCGCAGUAA